GCCUUGGAUACACGGUUCUGGUCUCCACAGAGCCAAUGUGCCGCGUUAAUUGUUUGAAUAGGAGAACAUGUAACUAUUGGUGGAGGGAUGAGGUUUACGACUCGGCUGCCUGAGGUAGAUUUCUACCAUCAAUGGUGGAUUGGACUUUACCACCAACAUGACUGCGUCAGCUGGUGACACGGACACGAUUUGAAAUCAGAAGUCAUCCCGCCAUUGAUUUUCUUGGCUCGCUGCCUCACGGCGCAAUUUUUAACCCCUUGUGGGAUGGCUGAAUCUUCUAUGAGGAGGAGCUAACUAGGUUAUUAUUAUAUUCCAUAGGAGAUCAUGU
rnacentral:sRNA from 1 species